GUGGCGUACGGCUCAGGAACACGUAGUCGACUUACCCUGAGGACGGGGAUAACCUCGGGAAACUGAGGAUAAACCACGAUAGGCUAUAAUACCUGGAAUGGGUUAUAGCUGAAAUCUACAUGGCCUCAGGAUAGGACUGCGGCCGAUCAGGCUGUUGGCGGGGUAAUGGCCCACCAAACCUAUAACCGGUACGGGCUCUGAGAGGAGGAGCCCGGAGAUGGGCACUGAGACAAGGGCCCAGGUCCUAUGGGGCGCAGCAGGCGCGAAACCUUCGCAAUGGGCGAAAGCCCGACGAGGUUAAUCCGAGUGGCUUCUGCUAAAGGAGUCUUUUGCCAGCUGUAAGGAGGCUGGUGAAUAAAGGGCGGGCAAGUCUGGUGUCAGCCGCCGCGGUAAUACCAGCACCCUGAGUGGUCGGGCGAUUAUUUGGCCUAAAGC
rnacentral:rRNA from 1 species